AAUACGUUCCCGGGCCUUGUACACACCGCCCGUCACACCACGAGAGUUUGUAACACCCGAAGUCGGUGAGGUAACCUUUUGGAGCCAGCCGCCUAAGGUGGGACAGAUGAUUGGGGUGAAGUCGUAACAAGGUAGCCGUAUCGGAAGGUGCGGCUGGAUCACCUCCUUUCUAAGGAA
rnacentral:rRNA from 1 species